rnacentral:rRNA from 1 species
CCUACGGGAGGCAGCAGUGAGGAAUAUUGGUCAAUGGACGAGAGUCUGAACCAGCCAAGUAGCGUGAAGGAUGACUGCCCUAUGGGUUGUAAACUUCUUUUAUAAAGGAAUAAAACGAGGCACGUGUGCCUUUUUGCAUGUACUUUAUGAAUAAGGAUCGGCUAACUCCGUGCCAGCAGCCGCGGUAAUACGGAGGAUCCGAGCGUUAUCCGGAUUUAUUGGGUUUAAAGGGAGCGUAGAUGGGUUGUUAAGUCAGUUGUGAAAGUUUGCGGCUCAACCGUAAAAUUGCAAUUGAUACUGGCAGUCGUGAGUACAGUUGAGGUAGGCGGAAUGCGUGGUGUAGCGGUGAAAUGCUUAGAUAUCACGAAGAACCCCGAUUGCGAAGGCAGCUUACUAACCUGUGACUGACAUUGAUGCUCGAAAGUGUGGGUAUCAAACAGGAUUAGAUACCCCAGUAGUC